AGGGUGAGAGGUGAGUGGGUUUUUCGAAUUCACUCGCCACUUUCACUGAACAAAAUGCACCUUCCUUCCUCCUUUCAAAUUGGCGCCUUCAAUCCGUUUAAACGGCACCGUAUUCUGUGAGAAACGGAGAUCACGAGUCAAUUUUCUCUCAACUCACUCAUUACUCAUAUUGGAUUGGAUUGGAGGCCUACCCACCCACGCACUCAACUAAAGAAACCAAUCUCAAUUUUUGGUCUCUAGACGACAAAUAGAGGCAGGACAAGUGGACAGUACACUCCUGUUUAUUUGUGGUACUUUCUACUUUGCUAUUCUCUUUAUACUUGUAUUUUUUUAUUGGCUGAGGUGUAUUUAAAAGUGGGUUCUUCCUAAUGGGGUAUCAGUAUGACAUCUUUCCACGUUGUUAGCUUUCUAUCAACACCAUUUUUGUGAAAGUAACUUAUAGUUUUGUAUUCAUCUUUGAACACCCCCCGAAAAAAAUCCUUUUUUUCUCUUUUCUUUGUAGGCUUUUCCCAUUUUCUCAUAGCUUUUCUUUCAACACAUCAUCUCCAUAUCUUUUUUCCGAUCCUUAAUUUAUCAAAAUUUCACAA